rnacentral:rRNA from 1 species
AAAUGAGAGUUAGAUUUGGUAAUUCUGAUAUCUAUGUCUGGUUAAAAUUUGUGCCAGCAGCCGCGGUUAUACUGAGAGAUGGAAUGAAAGAGAGUUGGUUAAAAAUUCUUAAACGAUACGUUACUGUGAUAAAGCAAGUUUGUACUAAUAAAGGGUGAAAUUGGUUUUUGGUGAGCAAGGAUGUUUUGUUUUUAAUGAGGUUGAGGUUAUUAAGAUUAAGGUAUGGACCAGGAUUAGAUACCCUGUUACACUUUAUUUUAAAAUAUUAUUACCUGGGUAGUAAGCAGUUAUUGUCUUGAAACUCAAAGGAUUUGGCGGUAAUUUAGUCUAGUUAGAGGAACCUGUCCUGUAAUCGAUAGUCCACGAAAUAUCUUACUUUAUCUUGUGAAUAACAGUUUGUAUACCGUCAUUAUUAGAUAACUUUAAUAAAAAUUCUAGUUAUUGGAAUAGUUUAAAACUAAUAUAUUAGAUCAAGGUGCAGCUUAUGGUAGAGAAGAGAUGGGUUACAAUGAGAUUUUUAUAAACGAAUUAGAAAAUAAAUUAUUUUUUAUGAAGGUGGAUUUAAAAGUAAGGUGAUUUUAAUAAGGUCACUUGAUUGUAGCUCUAGGUUAUGUACACAUCGCCCGU